GAAUACUGUCGCAGAUAACAGGAUACGAGUUUGUGGCUGAUGGAAUCGAAUCGUACCAACAAGACGGUAUUUCGGAUGCUUUCAGAACUUAUUUGUAUUUCCAUGUUAUCGUCGAAAACGGAAAAGUGGCAUCUGCAACUGAAGCCAAGAGCAUUUUCGACAAACAUGCAGUGGCACUUGCAAGCAUGGCUGCAAAGUACAAGAUUUCAUCUGUUCAGGAAUAUAAAGAAACACUACAACAGCCUGCUGCAGGUGUUCCAACUACAUUCAUCUUAAUUGGUAUAAUUGGUUUACUAGGAUGCAUCGUUCUCCUUGUUGGUUUCUUUUACUGCAAGAGUAUAUCAAGAUAUCAAAGAAAAUUGAAAGCUGCAACAACUAAGACUACAGGUG